GGAAUUGCUGUAAUGGCAGGUCAGCAUACUGCCGUGAAUACGUUCCCGGGGCCCUUGUACACACCGCCCGUCACACCAUGAGAGUUGGAAAUACCCGAAGCCUGUGAGCUAACAGUAAUGAGGCAGCAGUCGAAGGUAGAGCCAAUGAUUGGGGUGAAGUCGUAACAAGGUAUC
rnacentral:rRNA from 1 species